GGAGUUAGCCGGUGCUUCUUCUGUGAGUGAUGUCCUUCCUGCCGGCUAUUAACCCGCAGGCCUUCUUCCUCACUGAAAGUGCUUUACAACCCGAAGGCCUUCUUCACACACGCGGCAUGGCUGGAUCAGGGUUGCCCCCAUUGUCCAAUAUUCCCCACUGCUGCCUCCCGUAGGAGUCUGGGCCGUGUCUCAGUCCCAGUGUGGCUGAUCAUCCUCUCAGACCAGCUACGGAUCGUCGCCUUGGUGAGCCGUUACCUCACCAACCAGCUAAUCCGACAUAGGCUCAUCCGAUAGCGCGAGGCCCGAAGGUCCCCCGCUUUCCCCCGUAGGGCGUAUGCGGUAUUAGCCUGGGUUUCCCCAGGUUAUCCACCACUACCGGGCAGAUUCCUAUGCAUUACUCACCCGUCCGCCGCUCGCCACCAGGGAGCAAGCUCCCCGUGCUGCCGCUCGACUUGCAUGUGUUAGGCCUGCCGCCAGCGUUCAAUCUGAGCANGANACAACUACUGA
rnacentral:rRNA from 1 species